AGAACGAACGCUGGCGGCGUGGAUAAGACAUGCAAGUCGAACGGAACAUUACCUGUAGCAAUACAGGUGAUGUUUAGUGGCGAACGGGUGCGUAACACGUGGGCAAUCUACCGAGAAGUGGGGGGAUAGCUCGCCGAAAGGCGAAUUAAUACCGCAUGUGAUGAGAGGCGACAUCGCUUUGAAAUCAAAGGUGCUGCAAGGUACCGCUUUUUUGAGGAGCCCGCGGCCUAUCCAGUUUGUUGGUCGGAGGUAACGGCGUCUACCCAAGGACGUUUGUACGGGUAGGCUGGUCUGAGAGGACGACCAGUCACACUGGAACUAGAGACACGGUCCAGACACCUACGGUGGCGAGCAGUCGAG
rnacentral:rRNA from 1 species